UACGUAGGUGGCAAGCGUUAUCCGGAAUUAUUGGGCGUAAAGCGCGCGCAGGUGGUUUCUUAAGUCUGAUGUGAAAGCCCACGGCUCAACCGUGGAGGGUCAUUGGAAACUGGGAGACUUGAGUGCAGAAGAGGAAAGUGGAAUUCCAUGUGUAGCGGUGAAAUGCGUAGAGAUAUGGAGGAACACCAGUGGCGAAGGCGACUUUCUGGUCUGUAACUGACACUGAGGCGCGAAAGCAUGGGGAGCGAACAGG
rnacentral:rRNA from 1 species